CUCUGAGUGCAAUAUCAGGUCUUACUGUCCCUGCCCAGCCUCCCCUGAGGCCUUCCCCACUACUACGUAUGGACACAGGAGCUCAUCUCUGCUCAGCCUGGUCCCUGUAGGAGCCUGGGCUCAACCCCUGGACCUGGACCUUGGACCCAGGCUGCAGCCAUGUCCCCAGCCCUAUCUCUGUCACCAUCUCGUGCUGCUGGAGACCCUGGCCCUGAAAUCUCACCACCAAUAUGUUACUGUUGAAUUUCAAUCAACAUCUUUUUCGUCUUACUUUGCAGAAUUUUGGCAUCCCAGAGAUUCAGUCAGCCCUACCUUGCAAGGAAAAAAAAAAAUGUUUUUUCCACAGCAGUAGAGAUCUCAUUGCAGUACAGGUCAGUCAAACUCUGGAUGGACAUCCUCCCUCAAUCUUCAGUCUGUUAAACAGGUCAGUUAAACAGAUUGUGACACUGAAGAUGAGGAAAUACAUGCCUCUGGUCAAAUGUAUAGGAGUGCGAAAAUCUGUAAGGUUGAUCUGUUUGCUUUCAGCUGCAUGGUGUUCUUUGCAGUACAAUUGUGGCUCGGGGUAA
rnacentral:lncRNA from 1 species